UUCAUCACCUGGUCGAGAAAAGAGAGUUAUUUGAAACCCUUGUAUUCAUUAUGCAUGGCAUUGAAUGCAUCUAAGUAUUCACUUUGAUGGAGCUUAGAAUUUGGACUAGAGACGUGCGAGAAGCUUAAGAAUAACAAAGGAGACCAGUGGGAUCAAGUGGUCCGCCUGACUUGAGCACUUUGAUGGUUCAAUUAGCUUCUCUGGGUAAGUAGAGGUGGUGGAAGAUGGGAA
rnacentral:misc_RNA from 1 species